rnacentral:rRNA from 1 species
AUUAAACGCUGGCGGCAUGCCUUACACAUGCAAGUCGAACGGCAGCACGGGGGCAACCCUGGUGGCGAGUGGCGGACGGGUGAGUAAAGCAUCGGAACGUAUCCUGGAGUGGGGGGAUAACGUAGCGAAAGUUACGCUAAUACCGCAUAUUCUGUGAGCAGGAAAGCAGGGGAUCGCAAGACCUUGCGCUCUGGGAGCGGCCGAUGUCGGAUUAGCUAGUUGGUGGGGUAAAGGCCUACCAAGGCGACGAUCCGUAGCGGGUCUGAGAGGAUGAUCCGCCACACUGGGACUGAGACACGGCCCAGACUCCUACGGGAGGCAGCAGGUGGGGAAUUUUGGACAAUGGGCGGAAGCCUGAUCCAGCCAUGCCGCGUGAGUGAAGAA